rnacentral:lncRNA from 1 species
GAGAGAGAAGGCUGUCUCUCUGUAGAUGGCUGUGUUUCAACUGUACUGAGAAAUGGAAAAAGUCAGUUGGCCAAGCAAAAGUGCUAAGAGCAGAGAGGAGUCAAGAAUCCUCAUGGGCUUCCAGUGCCUGGUUCAAGGUGUCAGGAUCUAUACAGCCUGGCUUCUCUACUGCCUGAAGGGAAAUGAGACAAGCAGGACUAAGUGGAAACCCAGGUAAGAGACCCGAUGCUCUGAAAUGUGUCUGAAGCCCCCAAUCUGGCAUUCUGACCCCAAAGCAUAUACCUUUUCACCAUCUAAGCAUUUGUUAUGGCUGCCAAGCACUGUCCACCAAACUCAGACUCUGGGCUGACCAAUAAAACUGCUAACCCCAAGUCAUCAAGAGAGAGAUCAUCUGAGUGGGCCUAAUUUAGUCUGAUGAGCCCUUAAAAGGAAUUUGGCUCUUCCUCAAGUCAGAGACAUCUGAAGCAUGAAUGGAUGUGGUGUGAGGGAGAUUCUCCAUUGCUGACUUUGAAGAUGACAUGGCAAGCUCUCUGACAGCGACCCCAAGCUGACAGCCAGCAAGGAAAUGAGAACCUCCUGACAACCACAAGGAACUGAAUUCUUCCAACAGCCCAAAUGAACUUGGAAGAAGACCCCAGGCCUCAGAUGAAACUCUAGCCCUGACUGACAGCUUGAUUUCAGUCUCAGGAGAUCUUGGGCAGAGAACUCACUUACACCAUGCCCUAACUUCUAAUCCACAGAACUCCAAGCUAGUGAACAACUGCUGUUUAAGCUGCUAAAUUUAUAAUAAUUUGUUACUCAGCAGUAGAAUAUUAAGGUACUGUAUUUUCUCAUUUAUAAAAUGAAGAUGAGGCUGAAACUAUACCCACCUCUUAAGAUUUUUCUGAGAAGUAAUAUAUGCGUAAAAUGCUCAACACAGUGCCAGGUAAAAUGUAAGUGAAUGCCAGGGGUUAGAUACCUGGGAUAAAUGAAGUUAUUGCUAUUGUUUUAGUAAUUACCAUUACAAAGUUGGGGUAACAAAUCAUUUUUUCAUACAUCUUUAUCAAAAAGAGAGAUGCCUCAAGAAAUGGCCCAAACAAGGUGGAUGGAGUUUUCCAAGAACAGCAUUCAACCCAGGAUGCAGGGCUGACACAGAAGAGCCAGGGCAACUCACCAAAACUAUGGGAACUCCCACCUGAUGUGCCUUUAAACCAGGCCCCCUCCUGCCUCAACCUCCUCUUCACCCACACGUAAGCAAUAAAAACCCAGGCUAAUAAGAUCGCAAGACAGAGAACAUGUGGGUGGUUAUUUAUGUUUCAUACCCUUCUCCAUUAAGUUACAUGUUGGCCUAAGUCCUUCUGAAAAUAAAUGUCUGUUUUAAAACAAAAU